rnacentral:rRNA from 1 species
GACGGAGGGCGCAAACGUUGUUCGGAAUCACUGGGCGUAAAGGGCGCGUAGGCGGGACUGUAAGUCCGAGGUGAAAGCCCGGGGCUCAACCCCGGGACUGCCUUGGAAACUGCAGUCCUCGAGUGCAGGAGAGGAAGGCGGAAUUCCAGGUGUAGCGGUGGAAUGCGUAGAUAUCUGGAAGAACACCAGUGGCGAAGGCGGCCUUCUGGACUGACACUGACGCUGAGGCGCGAAAGCUAGGGGAGCAAACAGG